UACGAAGGUGGCAAGCGUUACUCGGAAUUACUGGGCGUAAAGGGCAGGUAGGCGGUUUGAUGAGUCUGUUGUGAAAGCUCCCGGCUUAACUGGGAGAGGUCAACAGAUACUGUCGAACUUGAGUAUGGGAGAGGGUACUGGAAUUCCUGGUGUAGCGGUGAAAUGCGCAGAGAUCAGGAGGAACACCGAUGGCGAAAGCAGGUACCUGGACCAUUACUGACGCUCAGGUGCGAAAGCGAGGGGAGCAAACAGG
rnacentral:rRNA from 1 species